rnacentral:lncRNA from 1 species
UUUUUUUGAAUACUGAUUAAUCAUCAUAUUACUGCAUUACACAGAUAUUUACAACCGCUAUUAUAGCAGAUAUAUUACACUGAUAUUUACAAUCAGAAAUACAUGAUUGGGACUUAUAUUAUUACAUUGAAUUCUGUGAAGUACAUGCCCAGACAAAUAAUCUCUUACAGAAGAGGGAUGUCCAUACUCCACUCGUAUUGCACGAGGGAGAAGAAAUUUUUGAAAUAUUAAACAAAUAAGCACGUUAGCCCCCACAAAUGCUUUUGUGGGGGCUUGAACCGCUGCCCUCACAAUGCUUGUGAGGGCAGCAGCCCACCACUCCGACCAAGGCCGAAGUG